AUGGUUUUCCUCUCCAUCACUCGAGGACACGGCGGGCGGCUGGCGGGUACUAAAACAGGUUUCCCGGCGGUGCUGGUGCCUCACUCCAGCCUUCCCAGCGUCCAGAACUGUGAGAAGCUGCUGUCCGGGGCAUCUUGUGAGGACAGCUCACCCUUGGCUCUGCAGACCGUCAAUGCGCCGCUUUCUCAGGCAGNNNNNNNNNNNNNNNNNNNNNNNNNNNNNNNNNNNNNNNNNNNNNNNNNNNNNNNNNNNNNNNNNNNNNNNNNNNNNNNNNNNNNNNNNNNNNNNNNNNCUUGUGAGGACAGCUCAUCCUUGGCUCUGCAGACCGUCAAUGCGCCGCUUUCUCAGGCAGUCCCCCCGCCCCCCAGCCCCUCCGCAAGGCCCCCAAAGCCAAGUGGAAUUCCCUACAGUUACCCUGUGACCCCGGAAGAGAACGGUUGCCAUGGACACAGCAGGGGUGGUCAGUGUCCAGGAGACCCAUCCCUUUGCCAGCCGCAGGCUGUCUUCAGGGUGUUUCCUGGAUUGCGCCUCUCACCAGUGUCUCUCCAGCUUGCUUUCUGUGUCCUUAUUUCCUUGGAGAGGACUCCCUCUCCUUACCCACAGCAAGAGCGGGUCUUUCUGUGUAGUCUUUAUCUUUGCCGCCUUUUACCUUGAAAGAAAAGAUCCGGUCUAAAAUGUCCUGGCUUUCCUCCUCCUAACAGUAAGGUAUCAGUUGAGUGAAUCAAACAUUUAAAGAUCCCAUUCAUUUGUUGUUUUUAACUAUUUAUUUUUCAAACUUGGUGUUGUACUGGGGUAGAGCCGAUUAACAAUGUUGUGAUAGUUUCAGGUGAACAGCAAAGAGACUCCGCCAUCCAUAUACAGAUAUCCAUUCUUCCUCAAACACUACUCCCAUCCAGGCUGCCACAGAACAUUUUAUUUUAUUUUAUUUUUCACACGGUGCUAUAGGUUUUAAGGUGCAAAUUAUCACAGGCAGCACUGUGAAAGAACGAUGCUGUCUGCUAAAUUAUGGCAAAAAUGUGGGGAAAAAUAUCUGAAAAAAAGGUUAGAAUAAAUGAAACCUCCUUGUCGUCCUCUCCUCCUCUUCCUUCUUUCUAUCUGCUUUCUGCCCACUUUGCCUUGCUUCUUUCUUGUGCAGGCAUCACUGUGUGAUUUUAGGUGCUUGGUGGUCAAAGCUUGCUGCACCGCCUGACGCUUCCUAGGACACAACAGACAGUGGCUAGAUGACCAGAUACAUGAAGGAACACAUUUUGCUUCUGAAUGGAGUUAUACAGGUUUUAUAUUGUUUGGCUUCCUGUCUCUCUUCCUUUCUUCCUAAACCUUUAAUUAUAACAUAAAUGUGUCCCAGAUCAUUAGGUAACCUGGAACUCAGUAAGCACUGAACAAACAUUUGUGGUUAUUUUUAUCAUUACCGUGGUUGUUAUCAAAAUUUACAGCUGCCAGAUUUGACAAAUGAAAAUACAGGAUGCUAAUUGAACUUGAGUGUCAGAUAAACAGCAAGUACUUCCUGAGAUCGCAUACUUGAUUACAUCGUAAUGAUGAACACACACACACGAGGCAGAACUUUGUAGUAACAAAACUUACACAAGAAUUUUGUCCAAAGAUCAGUGCUCAAAAUCACGGUGAUGUUCUUUCAUUGCCUCCAAAACAUACCUGUUUCAGAUGUCAGCAUCAGUGCCAUAAUCUAGUAGACGGUAGUUUUCUUUUAUCAGCUCAGUUCAGUUCAUUUCUUGUAUAAUUUACCUCUUAAAAUCCACAGCCUCGAAGCAAACAGACAACAAAUGAAUCUGCUUCUACAGUCUCUGCAGCAGGCACAAAAACAUAUUUUAAGUAUCUUCAGAGUACAGAAAUACAACAGUUUAAGGAUGAAAGUAUUACUGCAAGAGACAUAUCAGGCAGUUUCCUUUUAUGGAGUAAUAGCACUAAAAAUAUAUGUCAUUUUCCAAAAGAUUGGCCUAACUGGUAAUCUAAUUAUGAUAAUUAGGUAAUUCCGUGGUAAACUCACUCAUAAAUAUUUUCUGAAAACCGAUGGAUUUUAAGUAUAAAGAAAUUUCUUUACAUUACUCCACCAAUGACAAUGAAUACUUUAAUGAACAAUGAAGUCUUUAAUGAGCCCAUUAAGAGAAACCAAAAUUUCCUAAGACUAUAUGGUAUGAAUCAAACCUGAGUAAUUCAGGAGAAAAAAAAAAAAAAUCCAAAAACUUAUAGUAUACUUUAAACUUUUUUUUUUAAGAUUUUUUUUUUUUUGGAGUGUGGACCAUUUUUAAAGUCUUUAUUGAAUUUGUCACAACANNNNNNNNNNNNNNNNNNNNNNNNNNNNNNNNNNNNNNNNNNNNNNNNNNNNNNNNNNNNNNNNNNNNNNNNNNNNNNNNNNNNNNNNNNNNNNNNNNNUUUUGGAGUGUGGACCAUUUUUAAAGUCUUUAUUGAAUUUGUCACAACACUUCUGUUUGAUGUUUGGGUGUCUUGGCCAUGAGGCGUGUGGAAUCUAAGCUCCCCGACCAGGGGUGGAACCCGCACCUCCUGCUUUGGAAGGCAAGGUCUUUAACCAGUAGACUGCCAGGGAAGUCCCUAUAUUUAUUCCUUCUGUGAUGUUAAAUUGUAGUGGAAAUCUUCUUGUUCUGUUGCUGGGAUCUACCACCUUCAUUCAAGAAACUGUCUCUGCAUUUGAAUAAACACAAAAUACCCUUCGCAGGACACUUCCAAAUCAGAGAUUGAUAAUCUGUGUUACCCCAAAUAGGAAACACCCCCAAACAAAGCCAGCACAGACCCUCUUCCAGACCCUAAACCAUCUGAAGGAGAGCUUUCCGCCUCAGAAGGGUGACAGAAGUGGUCUGUUUCAGAAAGCAUCAGAAAAGCGGCAGGAGGCAACAGUUUUUUUCUUUGUAAACUCGACACAGUGUUUCGGGGUUGACACUGUCAGGUUUAAGGUUUAUUAACUCUAAUUGCCCAUCUGGAAACUGAACUGUGGACACUGACAUCGUGCAGCUGGAAACACUUAGUGGAAAUGAGUCUGUUGGCUUGUUUUCAGUUGGGAGCGUAAAGGUGAACAGCANNNGUGGAUGUGUCGGACCAGUCUGCAGGCCAGGACACCCCCAAGAUGUGUCUCUAGGAGCACGUCUUCAAGACUGAAAACCAGCUGCUUUUCUUUCUAAGAAACGAGGUCCUUACUGUAGCACAGGGACCUCCGCUCAGUAAUCAUGUGGGGCGGGAGAGGAGUCGGGGGGCAAGGGGUACAUGUCUGUGUAGGACUGAGUCUCUUUGCUGUCCACAUGAAACCAUCACAGCAUUGUUUGUUAAUCGGCCAUACCCCAACACAAAAUACAAAGCUUUGCAAGGCAAUAAAUAAAAGAAAGUCACACUUUGGAAAAAAACAACAGCAACGAAAAUACACUGGUAGACCCAGGGGCCAGGGGUGCCGGCUGGGAGAGGCGAUGGGGACUUGGUGUUUAACCGGGACAGAGUUUCCGUUUAGGAAGGGAAGCUCUCGGGAGACAGACGGUGGUGAGGGUUUCACGACAAUGUGAGUGUCCUUAUUACUGCUGAACUGCACAGUUAAAAUAUGGUUAAAAUGGUGGGCUUUAUGUGAUGUGACUUUGACCUCAAUUAAAAAAAGAAUGUUUUAAUAAUACGUUUGCCAAAAAGAAAAAAAAAAAUCCCUGUUUUCAUGGGUUUUAUAUCCUGUCAGACAAGAAGGCUAUCAACACAGGAGCAAAUACAUGAAAGAGGAAUUCCUAAUAGCUGCCCGUGACACGGAGAGCACAAAGCAAGCCGACGCAGGGUUUUUAAUUGUUCAGGAGUGGAGUCGAUGGAUAAUGUCGUUAGUUUCUGCUGGAUAGCAAAGCGAGCCCGUUGUAUGUGUAUAUAUGUUGCUGUUGUUUAGUCACUAAGUCGUGCCCAACUCUUUGCGACCUCACGGACUGUAGCCCGCCAGGCUCCUCUGUCCAUGGNNNNNNNNNNNNNNGAACACUGGAGUGGGUUGCCAUUUCCUUCUCCAGGGGAUCUCCCUGACCCGGGGAUCGAACCACAUCUCCCACGUUGGCAGGUGCGUGCUUUACCAUCCGUCCCUCCCGGAAAGCCCCGCGUGUACAGAUACCCUCUCUGUUUUGGGUUUCCUCCCCGUUCAGGUCACCGCAGAGCCCUGAGUGUGUGGCACAGCAGGUUCUCAUCAGGCAGCUGCUUCACACAUAGUGUCAAUAGUAUGUCCGUGUCCAUCCCAAGGUGGUGUGGCACAGACUGGACUCAGGAAGACUCAAGCUGCGGAAGACUCCAGAGCGGGCAAGGGAGGGGUUGAAGCAGGGAGAGCAAAGGCCCAGAGAGGCAGGAGGGGCUCUGCUGGUCUGUAGAGCAACCAGAUGACCGCUGCACACGGACAGGGCCUCGGGGGGGCUGGAGAGCUCGGCUGGGCCGCAGACGUGCUGCGUGCUUAGUGGGUGCACGAGCGAGAACAGAGAUACACUGUGUGUGUAGGAAGAAAGCUGCCACGUGUGUGCGCGUGCUCAGUCCUGUCCAGCUCUUUGCAACCCCGUGCGCUGCAGCCCGCCAGGCUCCCCUGUCCGUGGGCUCUCCCAGGCCAGAACACUCGGAUGUGUUGGCCAUUUCCUCCCCUGGGGAAUCUUCCCGACCCAGGAACUGAACCCAGGUCUCUUGCGCUGGCAGGGAGAUUCUUUACCACUAGCGCCAACCUGGAACGCCCACAUGACCCAGCAAUCCCACUGCUGGGCAUAUACCCUGAGGAGACCAUAACUGAGAAAGACACAGGUACCCCAGUGCGCACUGCAGCUUUAUUAAUAACAGCUAGGACAUGGAGGUAAGCUAGAUGCCACUGACAGAUGAAUGGACAGAGAAGAUGUUGUAUAUAUAUAUGGAAUAUUCAGCUCAGUUCAGUUCAGUCGCUCAGUCGUGCCUCUUUGCAACCCCAUGAACCGCAGCACGCCAGGCCUCCCUGUCCAUC
rnacentral:lncRNA from 1 species